CGAGCCUUGCCGUAAGCAGUGAAACAGCUUGGCAUGGUCGGGGAAAGAGCUGAUGUCGCUUUGUUCGUCAAGUCUUUUCUAUGAGAUUGUCCUGUUUAGCCAAUGGGACUCGCCCAUAUUCGAGUGUUUGUUGACAGUUUCUUUCAUGUAUUGCCUACUAUAUAAGGCGCAUCCAGCUCCACCAAAAACGUUCCACCCAAAAAAUCUGGCCUUAAGUGUACUCGCAGGUUGUUUCCUGUGCUUAGUAGUGAUGUAGAGACACCAUCUCUCGUAGCCUGUAACAAUUCUAUGUGGAAAUCAGUCAGUGCAGUUCUGUGUCGCUCGAGAUGUUUAUAGGCAAUGAGUAACCCAUAUUUCCUUGUGUGCCUCACUCAGAGUAACUUUUUAGGACAUCCCGGGUCGUCAAGAUGGGUGAAAAUGGCUAUAUGAACGCAGUUCAAUUCCCGGCCAGUUCGGGAGUAGUUCGUAGGCCGCCUUUUUUAAAAGGCCUCAAGGUUUUUCUCGUCCUUAGCCGACUCUGGAGUGCCUGAAAUAUUUCGCAGUAUCCGGCCUGGAAUCUUCGCGACCUCCCUGCUACCAGAAGGCGCGCGCCUGAACUCUACUACAUAAAUUGUCUCACUCUACGUCAACGGAUCCCUGGGAUCACCGUCUUAGUGACAACAUCGAAAACUUGCUAUCAAUAAAAAUUUAAAUGAAUUUAACGAAAAAAUUAAGAAGGACUGUCUUAUAGCCUGAAGCAAAUUGUGUGGCCGACCGACAAGGCGCAAAGUUGCUAUUGUCUUCCUUUAAUGUGUACUUUUGGAGUACUUUAAAAUCUUGCUGUCUCCGGUGGAUGAGUUUAAAUUAAAAAAAAUUAGCUUUUUAGUGUUAUUAAUUAGUUUAUUAUACUUCUUGGUAUAGAAUCACACAACUGUGUAUGCUUUUAGGAUGCUUAUAACGCGGCUAUUGCACA